CUGACUUCAGUCCUGAUGUACCACUGGAGCUUUGACAGCAAUAAUGAACUCCUGCUCCACCAUAACAACAGACAAGGGAGAAAAACAAAGGGGCACACCUGUUGUGGAAGUGGCUGUAGGAUGCUAUCCAUGAAAAUGAAUUCCACACCUAUAUGGUUGAGAGGAAGGGAUGGUUUAAGGAUGCUGUCACGGUUCAUACUGGUGGAUUAGGCACAGGACACCAGACUACUAGCAAAGGCAUAAGCCAUUUGGCUUACACACAUGUCUGGCCCACAUUCCUGCAAGAGGUCUGCACUUACUACGGUGAGAGAGUCCAUCAAAGAAAAAGAGAGAGAUGUGAAGAGAAGAUUCUUGGAAAUUUGAUGACUGGAAAAAUGGUAGUUCUUGCCAAGGAUUUUUCUGAAGACUGGAAAAAACAACAGGACUGGGGACCAGCUAUCUGUGGGGUAAAGGAACUUUUAGCGUUGACGUCUUCCAUUCCUCAGAAAGACACAAAUUCCAGCCCAUUAAUCUCUGGUGGGGUCAGCAAGGUCUCCUGCUGUUCAUAGUGCAUCGGCAGUCAAAAAUAUUCUCAAAACAUUUCAAUAGGAUUUGAGAGCUCUAUCCAAAACAUUUCUUAAACUGUCAUCUGACAAA